rnacentral:rRNA from 1 species
UACAGAGGGUGCGAGCGUUGUUCGGAAUUAUUUGGGCGUAAAGGGCGCGUAGGCGGUGCGGUAAGUCACCUGUGAAAUCUCCUGGCUCAACUGGGAGCUGCAGGCGAAACUGCCGUGCUGGAGUGUGGGAGAGGUGCGUGGGAAUUCCUGGUGUAGCGGUGAAAUGCGUAGAUAUCAGGAGGAACACCUGUGGCGAAAGCGGCGCACUGGACCACAACUGACGCUGAGGCGCGAAAGCUAGGGGAGCAAACAGG